UGGGCAAAAGAGGAGAAGGAUU
rnacentral:miRNA from 1 species